CCUACGGGAGGCAGCAGUGAGGAAUAUUGGUCAAUGGACGAGAGUCUGAACCAGCCAAGUAGCGUGAAGGAUGACUGCCCUAUGGGUUGUAAACUUCGUUUAUAUGGGAAUAAAAUGUUACACGUGUGGGAUUUUGUAUGUACCAUAUGAAUAAGGAUCGGCUAACUCCGUGCCAGCAGCCGCGGUAAUACGGAGGAUCCGAGCGUUAUCCGGAUUUAUUGGGUUUAAAGGGAGCGUAGGUGGGUUGUUAAGUCAGUUGUGAAAGUUUGCGGCGCAACCGUAAAAUUGCAGUUGAAACUGGCAGUCUUGAGUACAGUAGAGGUGGGCGGAAUUCGUGGUGUAGCGGUGAAAUGCUUAGAUAUCACGAAGAACUCCGAUUGCGAAGGCAGUUCACUGGACUGCAACUGACACUGAGGCUCGAAAGUGUGGGUAUCAAACAGGAUUAGAUACCCCAGUAGUC
rnacentral:rRNA from 1 species